GUAAUUCUGUGAUAAAAAGUUUAUUGUCACAGACACAAUAAUGAUAUUUCUGUGUUUGUUAUCUAAACAUCAGCUGUAUGUUGUUACCAGGUUUUGUAAGGUAAUUGAGGGUAACAGCAGUUCAGUCCACUCCACCAUUAUCAACACCUGGCUGUUUGCUCUCUCAUUCAUCCCUCUAUUCUGUCUUUCUUUAGGCAGGCAGCAGCAGAUUGUGUCCCUCCCUCCGGCCCAUCUGUCAGGUCACAGGUGUGUGACUCUAUGGAAACACACCCAGAGGCUCUUUGCCACUCCUCGGUCUUGCCAGGGCAACUGAGCAGGGAAAGGAAAGCAGCAGGAAACAGGAAAACUCAAAGCAGUAGCCUGACCAGCCUAGCAGAGAGAACAGAACCCAGAACUAUGGGCUUAAAAGCAAAGGCCAAGACUGUCAGAGCAUCUCCUCUGGAUGGGGUCAAGUCUCCAGAGACAGACAGUGGCUUCAUGGGCUCUGAGCUCAGUCAGCUCACUCCUGCUGUACACAGUCCUCUCCAGCAGAGGGCAGUGGUGAGUUCCAUCAGGCCGUCUGGCCCACACACAAAGAACAUAGAAAGACCAGAGUCUGCUCCUCCUUCUAGACAGCCUUUUGCGGUCUCCCCCUCUUGUUCACAACCCUCUUCAGAUACCCCAGGAGAACUCAUCAAGUCUGAAGGAUGCACAGGUCCUGUUAGGAGGAGAGGAGGGGAGGAAGGGGGUUCUUCUUCCAGCCUUUCUCCCUCAAUAUCCUCCAUUCAUUGGCCCAGUAGCGCCCUCCUGCCCUGGCCGAGCAGCCUGACCAGCCAAUCAGAGCACGGGAGUGAUCAGGGGGAUGAAAAAGCACAGGAUGGCCAAUAUCCACAUCCAGCCAACCAGCAGAUCCGCUCUCACAGAAGCCCUUCCCUCCAUGUGCCUUAUCACCACGGUGACCACCUCGAAGCCCAAAGUUCCGUUCAGCUAACAAAUCAGCAGUGAGUUUCCGAAAGGCUGACAUGGCCACUGCAGCACAAACAAGCAGAGAUUUAUGGCUGCUCUUUUGAGCCAGGGCUC
rnacentral:lncRNA from 12 species